GGGCAGAACUCGAAAUUUACCCUGCUCCCCCAAAGCGGCUCAUUACAAACCCGACGCGACAACCUGGGGAGGGGAGGGGGGGGGAGUUGUGUGGAUGAAUGGCAGGCAGAAGACAAGCACAAAGAGAAAGGUUUACAUGGUGAUCCUCCACGUUCUUUAAAUAAGUUGCAGUGAGAUUUCACCUCAAAUAGGCUCUUCAACAAUGAGGUGCCGAACAGGAGUAGUGCAAGACGUUUUGCUGCCAGAGGCAAAGAACAAUGUGAUGCCCCCCUCUCCGCAUCUACAGCAAACCAGCAGCCAUGUAAAUGGCUGUACCAUCAAGCUGUGCUUGUGGACCUCUUCCAAGUUGUGAUAAACGACAACACAGAUCACCUGGUUAGGCAGGUUGAAGGAAAGAUACCUGAAAUCGAGUGCCUGCU